GUGCUUAACACAUGCAAGUCGAGUGCGCGGUUGUAGCAAUACAACUGGCGCACGGCGCACGGGUGCGUAACACGUGGGCAAUCUGCCCUCGGAUGGGGGAUAACCCCGCGAAAGCGGGGCUAAUACCGCAUGACAUUCCGGAGACCCCGGUUUCUGGAUUCAAAGCCGUAAGGCGUCUGAGGAGGAGCCCGCGCCCGAUUAGCUAGUUGGUGAGGUAACGGCUCACCAAGGCUAUGAUCGGUAGCCGGUCUGAGAGGAUGGCCGGCCACACUGGAACUGAGACACGGUCCAG
rnacentral:rRNA from 1 species